rnacentral:rRNA from 1 species
CUGCCUAUUAGUGGGGGACAACAUUCCGAAAGGGAUGCUAAUACCGCAUACGCCCUACGGGGGAAAGCAGGGGAUCACUUGUGACCUUGCGCUAAUAGAUGAGCCUAAGUCGGAUUAGCUAGUUGGUGGGGUAAAGGCCUACCAAGGCGACGAUCUGUAGCGGGUCUGAGAGGAUGAUCCGCCACACUGGGACUGAGACACGGCCCAGACUCCUACGGGAGGCAGCAGUGGGGAAUAUUGGACAAUGGGGGGAACCCUGAUCCAGCCAUGCCGCGUGUGUGAAGAAGGCCUUUUGGUUGUAAAGCACUUUAAGCGAGGAGGAGGCGCUCUAGGUUAAUACCCUAGAUGCGUGGACGUUACUCGCAGAAUAAGCACCGGCUAACUCUGUGCCAGCAGCCGCGGUAAUACAGAGGGUGCGAGCGUUAAUCGGAUUUACUGGGCGUAAAGCGCGCGUAGGUGGCUAAUUAAGUCAAAUGUGAAAUCCCCGAGCUUAACUUGGGAAUUGCAUUCGAUACUGGUUAGCUAGAGUAUGGGAGAGGAUGGUAGAAUUCCAGGUGUAGCGGUGAAAUGCGUAGAGAUCUGGAGGAAUACCGAUGGCGAAGGCAGCCAUCUGGCCUAAUACUGACACUGAGGUGCGAAAGCAUGGGGAGCAAACAGGAUUAGAUACCCUGGUAGUCCAUGCCGUAAACGAUGUCUACUA